rnacentral:siRNA from 1 species
AUCCGCCGCCGUGUGCUCUACCG